ACGAGUGGCGGACGGGUGAGUAAUGUCUGGGAAACUGCCCGAUGGAGGGGGAUAACUACUGGAAACGGUAGCUAAUACCGCAUAACGUCGCAAGACCAAAGAGGGGGACCUUCGGGCCUCUUGCCAUCGGAUGUGCCCAGAUGGGGUUAGCUAGUAGGUGGGGUAACGGUUCACCUAGGCGACGAUCCCUAGCUGGUCUGAGAGGAUGACCAGCCACACUGGAACUGAGACACGGUCCAG
rnacentral:rRNA from 1 species